AAUAGUAUAGCCGGGCGGCUAUGCUUAUUUUUGACACGUGGCAUUAAAGUUAGAGGUUCUUCUUGAUUUUAUUUUAUUUUAAAAAAAGAGUACAGCCGCCCGGCUAUACUCCA
rnacentral:miRNA from 1 species